GUAUCCUUUUUUUAAUAAUGAAAGGUGGUGCAAAAAGAUAUGUUUUGUAACAUAACUUACAAAAUAAAACGUGGCAAUCACAGGUGUACUGUGCAGAAAAUAAAGUACAGCGCAGUUCUUCUAGAAGACUAGAGUUCAUAAAAUAUUGGAGGAGCUACUUAAAGCAUAUGUUAGCUUUUCAAAUAGUUUUUCCAUAUUUCAGA